CAGCAGCAGUAACAGCAGCAGCAGCAGCAGCAGAAACAGUACCAGCAGCAGCAGCUUCAGUAGCAGUAGCACCCAGCAGCAGCAGUAGCAGCAGCAGCAGAAACUGAUUAUAGAGGAAACAUUGGCGGCUGCGACACCGGUACUUGCCAGUAGACAGUAGCAGCCGUGCUCCUAUACUGCAAAGCUCAUAGCUUUUGAACGGAAAUUAUGUCAAUGCCAACGGAUGAAGAA